GAAUUACUCUUAAUUAAUUAGUGAAAAGGAAUAAGUUUUAAUUUGGGUAAGAUUAUCUGUGGAAAGAAAUAAAAGGUGAAUAUAUAUGUUGCGUUACGUUACAGAGGAAGUUGGAGGAGAAGAGAGCGAAAGCAUUAGAAAAGAUGCAAAACGACAUAGCAAAAGCCCGAAGAAAAGCAGAAGAAAGAAGGGCAUCGGCUGAGGCAACGAGGGGAACAAAAGUGGCAAGAGUUCUUGAGAUAGCCAACCUCAUGAGAGCUGUGGGCAGAGCUCCUGUCAAGCGUUCCUUCUUCUAGGCCGGGGUGACCCUUUUCUCAUUUUUACCACUCACUGGGUACCCUAUUUUGCCUUAGCUAGCUAGCUUGAUGAAAAAGAUGAGAAUUGAAGAAGAUUAUUAGGAAUAUAAUGGAGUACGAACGUGCAUGAAAUGAAAGUGUGUGCAGUGCUAGCUAGCUAGCUAGCUUGUUGAUCGAUCUGUGAGUGUUGAGUCUUGGUUUGGUUUGGUUUGUACAGAUUUUUGGAUACCAUCCACAUGUAAUUUCUAAACACUUUGUUUGGUUGGUCCAUUAUAUGACUCAUCUCAUCAUCACCAUUAUAUUCUUUUCGGUUUGAAUUGGAUGGCAUUUUGUAUUUUCUGAUUUUAGUUAUACAUUAUAUUUGUAGGAUUAUAUUGUACUUGGCAACGAACAUAGAUUUUUAUUUUAUAAUGUCUUUGGAAA